GAUGAAGAACGUAGCGAAAUGCGAUAAGUAAUGUGAAUUGCAGAAUUCAGUGAAUCAUCGAAUCUUUGAACGCACAUUGCGCCCCCUGGUAUUCCGGGGGGCAUGCCUGUUCGAGCGUCAUUUCACCACUCAAGCCUCGCUUGGUAUUGGGCAACGCGGUCCGCCGCGUGCCUCAAAUCGACCGGCUGGGUCUUCUGUCCCCUAAGCGUUGUGGAAACUAUUCGAUAAAGGGUGUUCGGGAGGCUACGCCGUAAAACAACCCCAUUUCUAAGGUUGACCUCGGAUCAGGUAGGGAUACCCGCUGAACUUAAGCAUAUCAAUAAGCGGAGGA
rnacentral:misc_RNA from 1 species